CACGUGGAUAACCUGCCCUCAGGUCUGGCAUAACCCCGGGAAACUGGGGAUAAUUCCGGAUAACGCAUAUAUGCUGGAAUGCUUUAUGCGUCAAAGGUCCUCCGCCUGAGGAUGGGUCUGCGGCCUAUCAGGUAGUAGCGGGUGUAAUGUACCUGCUAGCCGACGACGGGUACGGGUUGUGAGAGCAAGAGCCCGGAGAUGGAUUCUGAGACAUGAAUCCAGGCCCUACGGGGCGCAGCAGGCGCGAAAACUUUACAAUGCGGGAAACCGUGAUAAGGGGACACCGAGUGCCAGCAACAUUUGCUGGCUGUCCAGGUGUGUAAACUACACCUGUUAGCAAGGGCCGGGCAAGACCGGUGCCAGCCGCCGCGGUAACACCGGCGGCCCGAGUGGUGAUCGUUAUUAUUGGGUCUAAAGGGUCCGUAGCCGGUUUAGUCAGUCCUCCGGGAAAUCUGUCAGCUCAACUGAUAGGCUAUCGGGGGAUACUGCUAGACUUGGAACCGGGAGAGGUAAGAGGUA
rnacentral:rRNA from 1 species